GAGAGAGGUGGUCGUUGCGGAGCGCUCUCGUGCGUGUGUGUGUCAACGCGAAUCCGUCUGUGAUGGUGUCUGCCGCUUGUGACCCCGCGUGGUGUUUCCGGCUAGAUGACCUUAUUUGCACCCGUCGCCCCUCAUUCAUUCUGUCUCUGUGAUGCUGAGCUAUAUUGACCUUCUGAUGGUGACUAAGACACUGGGGAUUUGAUGGUGAAUUUUUUUUUGGAUAGUGACAGUGCAAUGGAUCGAGCGUGAGGAAGGAGCUUGAGGAUCGAGAAGGAGCCGAGGGAAUUCCCAGAAAAAGGGGGAAAAAGGAAGAGAUAAAGAGAGACGGCGGCAAACGAAGAGAGAAAUAAACAAAAAAAAAAAAAAACAUGGAAAACGUAAAUACUGGAGACGUAAAUAACUGGUGUUGAAAAAGAAGGAGGGGGAGAUAAAGAAAGGAGGGAAGAUAAUAAAGAAAAAAUAUAGAAAAACAACAGUGAUGUGACAGUGUAAAGUCUUUAAGUGAGUUACGAGGCUUCUCAAAAGACAAAAGACAAAAAAAAAGACAAAAGAAAAUAAA